rnacentral:tRNA from 438 species
GGACGCAUAGCUCAGUUGGUAGAGCAGCUGACUCUUAAUCAGCGGGUCCUAGGUUCGAGCCCUAGUGCGUCCACCA